rnacentral:lncRNA from 1 species
AUUAGUAUUAAUUAGGGGAAAUCUCUCUAAUUAAUGAAGUGUAGAUUUGUAAUUAACAGAAGUACCACUAAUUAGAUGAGCGGUACUCGUACAAAAGUACCCCUAAUUAGUAUUGAUGUUAGUACUAAUGAGGGGAAACCUAUCUUAAUCUUAAUUUGUGGCCUUCAGAUUUGGAUUUUUUGUCUAAGAUAAAGUGAUAAAUGUCUUGCUUAUGAUUUCUUUUUUUUUUUAUCGUGUGUUUUGAAAGUAGUAGUACCCUUGAUUGAAGUUUCCUUAAAAUUACUCAAAUUUUGAUCAAUUGCACUUAGUGUACCUCUUAAUUUGAGUAAUUUUGCUCUCUCUCUCUGGUGUUAUAAUCUCUUUCGCUUUUGGCAGUUCACUAGUAAGAUUUGAGUAAUUGCUCUCUCUCUCUCUCUGGUGUUAUAAUCUCUUUCGCUUUUGGCAGUUCACUAGUAAGAUUUGAGUAAUUGCUCUCUCUCUCUGGUGUUAUAAUCUCUUUUGCUUUUGGCAGUUCACUAGUAAGAAUUGAGUAAUUGCUCUCUCGGGUGUUAUAAUCUCUUUUGCUUUUUGGCCGUUCACUAGUAAGAAUCAAACUUGAGACGUAGCGUUGUUAAUCUUCAUUAUUAACCUCUCAUUCAUUCAAAUCCAAACGUAAUUUCUAGAAGUGGGAGGAUUAAUUUGUAUCAUACAUUUCUUUUUCCUCUUGUCAGAUAAUUAGGAGGACUUUAAUAUAUUAAAUUUAACAGAUUACAUAUCAAAAAUAAAUUUCUACUAAAUUGAAAAUUUGUUAGUUCAAAAUAC